AUUGAACGCUGGCGGCAUGCCUUACACAUGCAAGUCGAACGGCAGCACGGGAGCAAUCCUGGUGGCGAGUGGCGAACGGGUGAGUAAAGUAUCGGAACGUGCCCAGUCGUGGCGGAUAACGUAGCGAAAGUUCCGCUAAUACCGCAUACGAUCUAUGGAUGAAAGCGGGGGAUCGCAAGACCCCGCGCGAUUGGAGCGGCGCAUAUCAGAUUAGGUAGUUGGUGCGGUAAAGGCCCACCAAGCCGACGAUCUGUAGCUGGUCUGAGAGGACGACCAGCCACACUGGGACUGAGACACGGCCCAGACCCCUACGGGAGGCAGCAGUGGGGAAUUUUGGACAAUGGGCGAAAGCCUGAUCCAGCCAUGCCGCGUGCAGGAUGAAGGCCUUCGGGUUGUAACCUGCUUUUGUACGGAACGAAAAGGACUGCCCUAAUACGGUGGUCCCAUGCCGGUACCGUAAGAAUAAGCACCGGCUAACUACGUGCCAGCCGCCGCAGUAAAAC
rnacentral:rRNA from 1 species